AACAAAUUGGGGGGGAUGAAAACGGCAAAUUCUUGAAAGCAACAGUACGCAGGUGAAAGCCAGUCUCUCUGUAACUGACCCGGAGGACCAGUGGGAAUUCUCUGCCUGACAAAGAGAAAAAUUACAAACAUGUUCUUGCAAUCUUAUGCCAAAGAGAAGCAGAUACUCCCUGGCACAAUCAAGUCCUACCUUAAUAGCCUGAAGCAUUGGAUGUAAUUAGAGAUCCACUGGAAGCCAGACUGACACCAUGUCUAGGUGGAGCUUGACAUACUGAAAAUAAUUGUUGAAAAGAACUUUAAGCAAAAUGGACACACCUAAAACAUCUCAUCAAACUGGAGAUGACCUCAGAAUUUGUGAAGAGUGAGGUUGCCAUUGAGGCCACUAAAAGAAAUGGAUCCAACGUGAGGCCAGUCAACCAAAGAGACUUUGUCGUUGGCAGAAACUUUUUAAUGUUUCCAGCGUAUCAUGCUGAAUACCACAAAGGCUGGCAUUCUGGCCAAUGUCCAGUUAAGAGAAUUCAAGAUGUCAAGGUCCCUGGAAGGUGUAAAGAGCUUCGAAGUUAAGCAACACAAAACAGAGAGCACCCACUGUGGGGAAAUGGUUGUUGUCUCAGAGGAGUCAUACAGGUGGACUAUCUUUUAAUACAUUGAAAUCUGCCCCCAAAGAGUGAAUCCGAAGACGACCACAUUGUUUGUAACAUAGGGCAGGCAAAAAAUGGGCAGCAGCCAAAUAAGUCCAGCAAUGCAGUCCACAUAACGUAACACAAUAACAUAACAACAUACCAUAACAUUACAGAACACAACAACAUAACAUAACCUUACAUAACAUAAUGACAAGAACAGGCCAUUCAGCCCAACAAUGCUCGUCAUUUUCCUGAUGAAGUUAGUGCUCUGAUUAUCUACAGACUAGAUAGUAUCUAACAUCGUAUCAAGCCUAGUCUUGAAAAUCCCCAGAGUUUCUUCCUCUACCAUGUGAUCUGACAGGCUAUUCCACACAUUGUCUACUCUCUGUUGAAAAAAUGCAAUUUUUUUGGUAUAAGGCAAGCAUCACCUGCAGCCUCAUGAGGAAAUCAGCAGUGACUGACAGGAAGGGGCAGCUGUUCCACUUAAUGAGUCAUCACCUGGCCACUGCACAAAAGUGCUUUAUGGUAGUGGAAAAAGAGAAGAGCUCAGUUUAGCUAAUGUGUGAUGAUCGUUCAUGCGCAAAAUGGCUGCUGUGCAUCACCCAGGUGGGUGCUACGCAUUGGUGGUGGGUGAGCUGCUGCUAUGGUGCAGAACAGAAAAAAAGAGGAGAAAGAUUUAAAAAGAGGUGAAAGAGGAGGAGGGCCCUGAUUGUCCCAGCCCCAGGCAGGUGCUCAGCAGCAGGAGGGGAAGAAGGCUCCUGAAAGCAAGAUGCUUAGGAUUUUUUCCACGCUGACCUACACAACCGACUCACAGAUUCAAAGUUGAAGAAAACAUUUACAGUAAACAAAAUUAAUUCAUGGGGGAAAAAAUGGAAUGUCUUGACUGUGUAGGUAUGCCCACCCCUUGUCACAAUAAAAAAAUUUUUAUUAUCGUGAAAAACAAAAAGGCACCUAACAUGUUGUAUGUCUACAUCUGUAUCCAUUAAUACUAGUUCAAAUUAUUGAAAUACCCCUGUGAGUAGAAUCAUGCCGGUCUCUGUAUGGUCUCUAUCAGGGAGUGAAUUGUCAGUCGAAGUUAAUCAAUUAACACAAAAAAGGCAUCAGAACAACUCUUUAAAAGACACAGAGUAUGGUGAAGUGGAAGUGGAAGGUAUAGGCCAACACCCAGAUAAUGCUCAGAUCACGGCGUUCCCCCAUACUGAGUAAUUUAUCUGGGGAAGGAAUAAAAUUCUGAGGGAAAAAAUUGUGAGGCCUGUGGUGACUUUGAAGUCCAUGGCAGAGAUGAGAGAAAAAUGUGCAUGGUAGAAAAAAAUUUCACUUCCAUGUGACCGUGUGUCAAUGGAUAUUCAGUGUCUUUGAAGCAUAUUUAUUCCCCCUCGCUGCUCUGUGCCUCUGUAAUGGUCAAAAACUUUGUAGCACACAUGAUCGGUUGAAAACUUGUUAGUAUAAUCAGUCUUCUUCGGCUGGCGGCAAGAACAA